rnacentral:tRNA from 1 species
AGCCCUGAGGUGUAUUACAUAUCAGAUUGCAAAUCUGAAGAAGCAAAUUAAUCGUUUGCCGGGGCUU